CAGGCACUCGGAGGACUCAGGCCAGAAACUGGACUCUGAUGAGGAAUCACCAACCGUAUAUCCUCAUUAUAUUGACAAGGCAAAGUUCGGGGACCUCAAAUUUGAGGUUAGUAUGAUAUUCAAAUCAAAGGAACAUUUUAUGCAUGCAACUAGGGACUAUACAAUCCAGCUAGGUAGAAACAUAUUGUUUACAAAGAAUGACAAUGUUCGGGUUAAGGCUGUGUGUAAGGCUGAGGGUUGUCUUUGGAUAGUAUACUGUGCACGUAGUAAGCAAGACGGGUCCUGGCAGAUUAAAACCCUCGUUGACAACCAUAUCUGUCCUAGAAGGCAAAAAAAUAGGGCAGCGAUCCAACGGUGGACACUAAGCAAACUUGUACCAAAACUUAGAAAGCACCCUACAAUGAGACAUCGUGAAGUGUAUGAGUGGUUUGUGAGGAAGUGUAAUGUAAACCUCAACAGCACCUGCAUCACUAAAGCAUUGAAAGCUGCUAGGAAAGUGGUAGAGGGGGAUGAAGUUGCCCAGUAUGGGUUAAUCUGGGACUAUGCUAAUGAAUUGCUUACAAGUAAUCCCGGGUCUACAGUUUAAGUUGGUGUAAUCCCAAUGCCAGAGGGUCCUCCUCAAUUUGAGAGCAGCCAGUUGGGUCAAGUACCAAGAUAAAGAGGAAGUACAACCCAAUUAGGUGCAUGUAUUGUGGUGAAGUUGGACACAACAAGAGAAGCUGUGCAAAGAAGAAAAAGGAGGAUGCUGAGGAACAAGCUAGGCAAAUGCAACUUCAGCUUGCCAUUGCUAAAGGGCCUGCUCCUCCUACAGAUGAGCCAAGCAACAACAAUGAAGUUCAAUCACAUUCUCCCCCUUCUCCCCCAGUCCAGCCACAACCUGCGGUGGAAGUCAACCAACCAGGAGAAAACCCACCAAUGCAAGAUACCCAACUGCCUGUUCAAGACCUUCAGAGAGGCAGGUCACCGAAAUUGCAUGUCAUCAAAAGCAAGGCAAGAUCGAAUGCCUACACCCAGUCACCUGUGGCCAUAUCUGUUGAGACAUUGAAAGGAACAACUUCUGCCACUGCAAAGAAGAUGCAAACCUUCAUGACAUUCGUGCCUACUCCAGGCUUCAAGCGUCCAAGAAAGAAAGAUUAAUAUGUUUAACUAGGAAAUAUAUUUUGUAUGUAGUUGUAACUUUGCUUUUUGGGAACAUGGCUCUGUAAACUGGUUAUGUGUUCAGGAUCAUUUAAGUUAGGCCUAGUAGGUUUUUUUGGUUUAAGUGAACAAUGUUGUUUGAACUUA